GAUUAAUUUUGUACAUGUCCCUAUAAACAUAAUUGUGAAAACAACUGUUGUACUCUAAAAGCUUAAGCUGUUAGAGAACGGUGUUUAUAUAUUUUAAUAUUUAACACUCCCCCUUACGUCUGUGCUGGAGACUUUUUAGUCGGCUUAUGAUGUGGGCUUGAAUUAAAUGGGGGAAAAUUAAUAUGCUAGGAGCCUGGCGUGACUCGAACUCAGGACCUCCUCUCUGAUGCCAUGUGAAAACAAUCGUUGUACUCUAAAAGAGAACGGUAUUUAUAUAUUUUUAUAUUUAACAAUAGUGAAUGAUAAAUAUAUUCCUACAAAGUUUAACUUUCAUAUAUUGUUCCUAUAAAAGUUCUAAUAUUUUCAAAUAUAUCCCUUUGAUUUGUUACCAUUAGAGAAUCAUUAGAAAACUGUUUAUAUUUUUAAUUUUGCCAUUACAAAUAUGCCCCUCCAAAAACUAUAACAGUGGUAAAAAUGUCAAAAACUAACCAGGGUUAAUUAUUUAACCUAUGGUUAACUAAAAUUUUCUAACGGAUUCUAACAGCAGGGACAUAUUUGAAAAUAUCAUUAUUUUUGCAGAAACAACAUAUAAAAGUUUAAUUUUAUAGGAAUAUAUUUAUCAUUUACUAUAUUUGUAGGGACCUGUAUGAAAUUAAUCCUAGAUUAAAUUAGAUUUUUAUUUGAUAAUAUUGUAUGCUAG
rnacentral:lncRNA from 1 species